rnacentral:siRNA from 1 species
UUGCUCUCUUUCACUAAACGGUC